UACAGAGGUCUCAAGCGUUGUUCGGAUUCAUUGGGCGUAAAGGGUGCGUAGGCGGCGCGGUAAGUCGGGUGUGAAAUCUCGGAGCUUAACUCCGAAACUGCAUUCGAUACUGCCGUGCUUGAGGACCGGAGAGGAGACUGGAAUUCCCGGUGUAGCGGUGAAAUGUGUAGAGAUCGGGAGGAACACCGGUGGCGAAGGCGGGUCUCUGGGCAACUCCUGACGCUGAGGCGCGAAAGCGUGGGGAGCAAACGGG
rnacentral:rRNA from 1 species